AGAGAGCGAUGCUGGAUGCUGGGCCAAUAGAGGAUUGCGAGAAGCAAACACGGAGCAAUUCACAUGAAGAUUCACUCACCUGAAAAUUGGCGUCUCAUGCUGCAGCAGCUGCUUAUCUCGCAUCUUCACUCUCCUCUGGUUAUUGCUCAUGAACAGUCGGAAUCUCCAUAUAUCAGCAAGGGCACUGAACGGGAUGCGGCUUGCGUAUAUCUCUCCUCAGCACCCAUUACUCAUUUCAGAGCAGUGGAUAGGGCCCGAACUAUCGGAGAAUUCUGGGGAAGACAGUCUUGGAGUCUGGAUGUAGCAGCAAGGCUCUCUCUCAUGCUCAUGAAGUGAACUGCAUCCUUUUGUAGGAAGAACAAUAGCUAGGCCAACCAAAAGGAAAGGCAGUAAUGCAAAGGGUUGACAGGCUGUGUGUGAUGGCUAAGCAGGAUGCAAGGGCAGCAACAAGGGAAAAGUUCAGGAUUUGAGAUCGUUGGCAGGAGGCACAAGUAUUUGUUUAACAGGCUCAAGGAAGGAUCAGGGAAGUGCAACAACCAAUUGGAAGGCCAAAUCUCGCUGGUUUAAUGAAACAACAAGGCCAACCUAUAAGCAUGUGGAGCAGAUAUUUCACGCAGGCCUUGCCGGGACUAAGGAUAUCAAGGAUUUGAACUUUGCAGCCCCCCACCCCACCCCACUCCCCUCUGAUAUAGAUAAGCAAGGCCAGACAUAUCUUCACAUGUUUGCAGUUUGUAGUAGUACAGAUCUGCAGAUACCGUGGGCCUACACGGCAAUGAGUUAUCCUAGGCUGUCCUUGGUAGUCGUCACAGUCCCAGCCCUGGGAUCUGGCCACAGCCUUGGAAAAGUGAACUACCGUUUGAGUAUCCAUCAUAACUUGUUUAUUUGUUCAAUUCGGCUCUCUAUACCAUAUGCUGCUAAGGGCCCGAUAUCACUAUAUCAGACAAGAAAAUAUCUAACAUGGAAAGGAACUUUGCAACGUCUUGGCGCUCAUGGCCAUCCACGUACCACUCAAAGUCAGACAAGCAGCAUCAACUCUGGAUAACUUCGACAACAAUCUACUGGCUCUUGUUGCACCCUGAGACCAGAUAUUCGAUAGUUCCUUUCAAGAACGACUAGAUACGCAUGGACAACUUGCUCAUAAAAGCUCUCCUGCGUGUGCUCGAUCGAAAAAUAGCACCCAGAUUCUCACGGGAUGGAACUGGCCAUUUGCUAAGGCCUGAUUCUACUAUUGCUGGGAUAGAAUCAAGUAGUAGUGAGGAUCCUAAAUAAGGAGCAGCAGCGUUCAAAUAAUGCAAAGCGACUGUCGCACUCGCGUCCAAGGCCCGACAGGCUACCUGCCGCUGAUCCUUUCCCUCGCUGUCGAGAGCUGCGGCCAAUCUCUUAAUGAGUAUUCCUGUGUGUGUAUGUGUAGGUGCGCGCUUGGUGGCCAGCACAAACAACAUCAAACUGGCUGGAUCACAUGGACCACACCGUGGCGUCCAGUCCAGUUGUUCGCGUACGUACGUGCAGCUUUCGUCCUCGGAUGCGCUCGGGGGAUCUGGACAUAGAUUAUUGGUGGCUUCUCGCCACGCCAUGAGUGAGUACUUUGGACCUUUCCUGGCCUAGUUUUGUAAUAGAUCUGUUGGAGUGGAUUGUAAAGUGAUUUGAUGAAGUGAUGCGUCGGGGUG